rnacentral:rRNA from 1 species
AACGAACGCUGGCGACAUGCCUAACACAUGCAAGUCGAACGAGACCUUCGGGUCUAGUGGCGCACGGGUGCGUAACGCGUGGGAACCUGCCCUUAGGUUCGGAAUAACUACCCGAAAGGGGUGCUAAUACCGGAUAAUGUCUUCGGACCAAAGAUUUGUCGCCUUUGGAUGGGCCCGCGUUGGUUUAGCUAGUUGGUAGGGUAAAAGCCUACCAAGGCGACGAUCCAUAGCUGGUCUGAGAGGAUGAUCAGCCACACUGGGACUGAGACACGGCCCAGACUCCUACGGGAGGCAGCAGUGGGGAAUAUUGGACAAUGGGCGAAAGCCUGAUCCAGCAAUGCCGCGUGAGUGAUGAAGGCCUUAGGGUUGUAAAGCUCUUUUACCCGGGAUGAUAAUGACAGUACCGGGAGAAUAAGCUCCGGCUAACUCCGUG